AUUAAAUGGCCGCAGUAUACUAACUGUGCAAAGGUAGCAUAAUCAUUAGUCUUUUAAUUGAAGGCUGGUAUGAAUGGUUGGACGAAAUAUUAACUGUUUCAUAAAAAUUUAUAUUAAAAUUUUAUUUUUUAGUCAAAAAGCUAAAAUUUAUUUAAAAGACGAGAAGACCCUAUAAAUCUUUAUAUUUAAAUUAUUAUAAUUUUAUAGAUUAUUUAUAUUAUAAUAAUAAUAAUAUUUUAUUGGGGUGAUAUUAAAAUUUAAUAAACUUUUAAUUGUUUAAAUCAUUAAUUUAUGAAUAAUUGAUCCGUUAUAUAACGAUUAAAAAAAUAAGUUACUUUAGGGAUAACAGCGUAAUUUUUUUGGAGAGUUCUUAUCGAUAAAAAAGAUUGCGACCUCGAUGUUGGAUUAAGAUAUAAUUUUAGGUGUAGCUGCUUAAAUUUUAAGUCUGUUCGACUUUUAA
rnacentral:rRNA from 1 species